AACUGUGCAGUGAGCACAUAGCGAACUAUUCUUUUGCUUUUUACUAAAGAAUACCGCAUACUCGCCGCAAUACAACCGCAGCAUACGCCUCUUUAAUUUUUUUAGGGUUAUUUUUCUUUUAGAAAUUU
rnacentral:snRNA from 1 species